CGAGCGAUUGCAAGCUGCUCUAAGUGAUGUGUUGAGGCGACUGACGAGGACUUAAACUUGGAGUGCGUGAGAGAGCCGUGUUUUCUGCGGCUCUGGAGUGGCGGGGCGGCUCAAGGGUUUUCUUAUAAGAGCAGGAGCGUCUUGCACUCGGUCAUUCUGCCGUGGACGACCAGAAAGUUGGACAUUGUGAGGUAGCGAACUGCUGGCGACUACAGAAAGUUGGACAUUGUGAGGUAGCGAACCGCUGGCGACUGAAACAGGAAUUUUUAAAGCUGAAAUUGUAUUUUUUUGGAUCUUUUGUCUUUUUCCUCAACAUUUGAACAAUGUCCCUGGUCCUACCAAUCUGCCUGUCCACGAUCGCCUUCUGUCUCUGCCUUUCUCUGGGUCAACAAGGCGUGUCGGCCAAAAGUCUACCAGACGACAUCGAUCUACGUCUGCUGGAGGACAGGUCAAGGCUGUUGGCCGGCCAAGUCCAGGGUCAAAGGUCGAAACGGUUCUCCUUCAAUGGGAACAUAAAAGCUUUGGCCGACAACAUGAGGGCACAAGAGGAGAUGGAACUUCUGGCAAAUUUACAAGAAAUGCUCAGAUCAGCUGGCAAACGGUCGUCGCUGGAUUAGUUCCUGCAUAAACGGUCGUCUGUGGAUUAAUUCCUGGUCAAACGGUCGCCUGUGGAUUAAUUUCUGGUCAAACGGUCGCUUGUGGAUUAGUUCCAGCCAAAACAAGGCGGAUGACGUUAAAACAUUCAAUUUUUCUCUGAUAUCCUAACAGAUAUUUUGAAACUUACAAUUCAGCAAUUCGAAGAAAAAACCCCAAAAAAGGACAUUUACACUGUGUGAUUUUAAAAUAUACAGAUAUAAAUCUUUCCUGCUUUAGAUAUAUCUGUUAAAAUGAACAAAAAAUAAUAAUUUUAGAACAAUUGAAGCGUAAAACUAUGGACAUGGCUCUUGUUUUUAAACAAAAAUUUUAAACUUUAAAAAAAUGUAUUAAAAAUUCCUAUGCCUUA